GGAUGAACGCUAGCGGCAGGCUUAAUACAUGCAAGUCGAAGGGGGUAGCAAUACAACCGGCGCACGGGUGAGUAACGCGUACACAACAUGCCAUAUACUGGAGUAUAGCUUUGGGAAACUGAAGGUAAUCCUCCAUAAUAUUUCGGAUAGGCAUCUAUUUGAAAUUAAAGUUUCGACGGUAUAUGAUUGGUGUGCGUUUGAUUAGCUAGUUGGUAGGUAACGGCCUACCAAGGCUACGAUCAAUAGCUGGCGUGAGAGCGCGACCAGCCACACUGGAACUGAGACACGGUCCAGACUCCUACGGGAGGCAGCAGUAGGGAAUAUUGGACAAUGGGCGAAAGCCUGAUCCAGCCAUGCCGCGUGAUAGAUGAAGGCCCUC
rnacentral:rRNA from 1 species